GCAUGGUGCAGUGGUUUGAGCGCUGGACUAUGACUCUGGAGACCAGGGUUCAAAUCCCAGACAUAUA